CUCGCUUUUGUCAGAAGAAAACAAUUGUUGUCACUAGACACUAGAAUCAUGGUUCAUGAUAAACAUCAAAGAAAUACAAUAUGUACUGAAUUACAAAGAAACGACAAAGGAGUAGUGCUUCAGACACAAUCACAAAACGGAAUGGCUAGAAUAAGUCAGAAGUAUGGAACCAACAGUACAUCGAAUGGUCUGGAAUAUGAAACGGUGGUGGUACUCCAAUGAUGAGGACGAACAUUACGCCUUAUGAUGAUAAUGAAGAUGACCACAAAGAUGAUGAUGUCGUUUCUGGUAGCCUCGUUUUUAACAGACCGAUAAAAGUGCACGAUCAACGUGUAGUAGCUUAGCUUAUGUCGCUAUUUAUUUUUACGUUGCUAAUAAUGAAAACCGUAGAAUAUAUGAAAUUUUACGUAAAAUUGGAAAGCAACUUAUAAUUUAACAAAGAAAUUGUAUUAUAAUUAACUUGCACUUUUUUUAAACAAUCUCAUAUGUAUGUGGUGGUGUACAAGAAUUUUCAAGUUUAAAAAUUUACAUAAUAUAAAUAUGCAGUUAAAAAAUCAGGUUUAAGAGUCUUCUCUAAUUUUGCAAACGAACACGCAUGACGUGCAAACCAAGCAAAUCGAAACUGGUUUAGUUUUAUCAUGAUCGAGAUCAAGAUAAAAAUAGAAGAUGAUUAAAGAUUAUCACGUUGCAAGAUAGUUUUGCAUGCCAAUAUGCAGGUUAUUCGACGAAACCAAGCGCGAGACAUCGAGAUUAAUACGAAUAAGCAAUCCUGUUAUAAUCUAAUUAAUCGUUUGUCUCCCAUAAUGGUCUUACUGAACGUUGACUUAUCGUAUCAUAAUGCCUUGCUCGUGUUGAAGGAAUCGUGUCAAAGGUUAGAAGGAAAGUCUUCACUGCAACCACCUGUUGUAUAAAUUAUCCGGCACUAUUUGUGAUUCACCAAACAUUCAUGCUAUAUCUUUUUCGAUUUUUCGAUUGAUUAUUCUUGAUAGAUCCUAUUAAAAGUAUAUGGUAAAUCUAAGAGAUUGAUGAGAUAAAAUUUUUAUUAUACAUCGCUUUAAUAAUGCGAUUUAUAAAAGUCGUAUGAUGUAAGCAAAGGAUUAAUUCGAGGUAUUAAUAUACAGGAAUACGUGUAAUAAUGCUUAAUAAUCAUUAGAAAGUUAUACAGGAUGAUAUCUAAAUAAAUUUGUAAAAAUUAAAUAAUUAUAGUAAGGUAACUGAUCUUCAGGUGUAUACGUAUUACGUAUUACGUAUUUAUAUUUUCUUUGAUCUUAAUUAAGGCUUUUGUUGAUUCAAUUGCAUUAAGUUUAAAGAAAACUAAAUGUAUUAAUUCAUAUAAUAAAGAAUUGUUAGAAGAAUAUUUAAUAAUCUAAAGAAUAUUUAAUGAAUGAAAAACUUAUACUGAAUUUUUAUAAUUCAAUAUAAAGAAUAUAAAAAAAGAAUAUAUGCUUCUGUUGGUUAUUGUAGGCUAUUAAUGACGCUUUCCAUAUAAUUUGAAGUAUUAAUAUUAAUAAGGGAAAUCUAAAAAGUAUUAAGUGAUAUAUUAUAGAUUGAAAAUAUGAAUUUUACAGAAAAAAGAACUUAUUGGCAUUAAAAAUGAUUUGAAUUUAAUGAAUUUAACAAAAUGAUUAUAUUAACUUUCCAUCAAUUUAAAGAGCACUUUUACUUCACAUGAAAAUAACUUAUUCAUCACAAGUAUCUUCAUAAAAAAAUAAAAAACCUGUUUUCCGAACCUUUCACUUGGUCAUUCGAAAGUUCAAACCGAACUAAUAAAUUUACAGUGAGGAAAAGAAGAAGGAUUUACUGAAUGCAAGUAAAAUGCAUCAAUGCAUAAACAAUAAGUUUCGUGAUUUAUGUUCGGAAAUCUCAUAAGAAGAUGAAUUUAUUAGUCAUGAAAAAUACUUUUAAGGAUUUCACAUAUGUAGAAAUUAUACACUGAAUAAUUCAUUAAGAUUUAUAUUUACUGAUAAGAGUUGAACGAAGUUUCUAUAUCUCCACUUUCAUGGAAGAAAAAUAUCAAUAUCCUAUGAAAUCAUGCUACAAUAAUCAAUAUAUAUAAUAA